AGUACCGUGAGGGAAAGUUGAAAAGUACUUUGAAGAGAGAGUAAACAGUGCGUGAAACUGCUCAAAGGUAAACGGGUGGAGGUUGAACUGCAAGCUCCGGGGAUUCAGCUGAUGAGUGUGAUUGCGUUCGGGCAGCUUGGCCGGCCUUCUGAUGUCUGUCUAGUGGCAGGUGCCUUCCCUUGGGGGUUGGUAUGUGUGAUGCGCUUACCAUGCGCCGCACGCAUUGGGGGUGAUGGGUCUGCUUGUCAGUGCACUUUCUCGGGGUGUUCACCACGACCGGCACAGCCGUCUGUCUGCUUUGGUCAAACUGAUCAGGUCUGGUUAUUGCUAGGCUUGGUUGGGAUGGAAGGUAGCCCGUGUUCACUUGUUGGACUUUGGGUAUAAUAAGCUGGCCACUGUGGAUCUGUAUGGUGUGUCGGAGAUGGCGGCUUUGCAUGCGUGCUCUGUCCUGCGGGCGGGAUUGAGUCCGGUUGGCUUGUUACUGACUUCGGUUAGUCGGUCGAUGGCUUAGUCUUGUUCAGUGGGCGGUUGCGUGUGUGACUUGGCUUGGGCCAAUAGUCUGUGGUGUAGUGGUAGACGAUCCACCUGACCCGUCUUGAAACACGGACCAAGGAGUUUAACAUAUGCGCGAGUCAUUGGGCGUUACGAAACCCAAAGGCGAAGUGAAGGUAAAGGUUUGGCUAGUCCGAACUGAGGUGAGAUCCCGUUGGUUUGCCUAAUUACUUACCGAGCUGUGAACAGCGGGCGCAUCACCGGCCCGUCCCAUGGCGUAGACAUGUGACCUUGUGUUAUGUGCACCGUCGGGGCGGAGCAAGAGCGCAUACGUUGAGACCCGAAAGAUGGUGAACUAUGCUUGCUARGKUGAAG
rnacentral:rRNA from 1 species